rnacentral:rRNA from 1 species
CUUGGUCAUUUAGAGGAAGUAAAAGUCGUAACAAGGUUUCCGUAGGUGAACCUGCGGAAGGAUCAUUACUGAUUUGCUUAAUUGCACCACAUGUGUUUUUUAUUGAACAAAUUUCUUUGGUGGCGGGAGCAAUCCUACCGCCAGAGGUUAUAACUAAACCAAACUUUUUAUUUACAGUCAAACUUGAUUUAUUAUUACAAUAGUCAAAACUUUCAACAACGGAUCUCUUGGUUCUCGCAUCGAUGAAGAACGCAGCGAAAUGCGAUACGUAAUAUGAAUUGCAGAUAUUCGUGAAUCAUCGAAUCUUUGAACGCACAUUGCGCCCUUUGGUAUUCCAAAGGGCAUGCCUGUUUGAGCGUCAUUUCUCCCUCAAACCCCCGGGUUUGGUGUUGAGCAAUACGCUAGGUUUGUUUGAAAGAAUUUACGUGGAAACUUAUUUUAAGCGACUUAGGUUUAUCCAAAAACGCUUAUUUUGCUAGUGGCCACCACAAUUUAUUUCAUAACUUUGACCUCAAAUCAGGUAGGACUACCCGCUGAACUUAAGCAUAUCAAUAAGCGGAGGA